GGAACUAAGAUCAGCAAACAUUUCAAGAGGACAGCUAUGUCAAGUGCCAGUUAGAUGUUGACGGCAUAACGAUUAUAUAUAUAUAUAUAUAUAUAAUAUAUGUUUUUGAGAACAAAUAACCAUAACACAAUAUACUUUAAGCACUGCAAAAGAGACAGGGAUAUGCCCAGAGACGGAGAUGAGGGCUACUAUCACCAAGGGUCAAAGGAAGAAAAGGGUAUUUGGGGUUGGAGAUAUAGCUCAGCGGUUAAGAACAUUUAUUGCCCUUCGACCAUAGUUCGAUUCCCAGAAACUACAUCUAGUGGUUCACAAACAAUCUUUAUUCCAGCUCCAGGGGAUUCUAUACCUCUAGGGUGAGUAUGCACGUGCGUGUGUGUACACACAUACACACACACAUAUACACACACAGCAUACAAGCACAUAUGUAUGACUUAAAUUAAUUGUAGUUAAGAAAGAAAAGAAAAAAGGUAUUAUGUGGAGAGAGCAAACUGUUGAAAUCUAUUUUCUAUACAUGAAGAGUUAGGGAUUUUUUUUAGGGAGGCAGGCUUGAAGUCUCUCCGUUUUAUAUAUAGCUAUCACCAUCCAUAUUUAUUUUUUAUUUUUAUUAUUUUAUUUAAUUAUCCAUGCUUUAAAGAACACCAGGUGGCUAGGUGGUGGUGGUGCAUACCUUUAACCACAGAGCUUCUGAGGCAGAGGCAGGCAGAUAGAUCUCUUAGUUCAAGACUAGCCUGAUCUACAGAGUGAGUUCCAGCUCAGUGUGGGCUACACAAAGAAACACUGUCUCAGAAACUAAAACAGCAAGCAGAUGGUUUAUAAAUAUUUGUGUUUCUGGGGGUUUUUUUUAGUAGUUUUUUCUUAAAAGUUAAGUCACUGUGAGUAUAUCCAUGUAAGUGGAGAGCCAGAAGGCACAGGAUCCCCUGUAGCUGGGAGUUCUGGGCAGUUGUUAGCCAUGUUCCCAGGUGCUGGGAACAGAACUGAAGCUUUCCAGUACCAGGUGAGUCCUCCUGACUGCCAAGCCCUUCUCCAAGCCACUGAUUAAAAAAAAAUUAUUUGCUGGCCUUUCCGAGCAGUACUCGCCGGCCACUGGAAACUGCCAACAGUGAACCUCAGCGUCUCAAGAAAACACUGAAGAAUUCUAUGAAUUGUAGCAGUGAAUUGGAUUGUAUUCUCUGGCAUAUUUUGAAGAAAACUGGGCUAUUGAAACAUUUUUCCCUCCUGACUGCUGCUUGAAUGUUCUUGGAAGCUGUUUCGUAUGUAUAGGGUUUUUAAAAUGUGAUUCCUUUGUUUGAAUAUUAAUGGCUUUUUCCAUUAAAGAAUAAAAUGAUAAAAAAUAAAUUAUUUGGGGGUUGGGGAUUUAGCUCAGUGGUAGAGCGCUUGCCUAGCAAGCACAAGGCCCUGGGUUCGGCCCCCAGCUCCGAAAAAAAAAAAUUAUUUGGGGUUGGGAAUUUAGCUCAGUGGUACAGCGCUUGCCUAGCAGAAAAAGAAAAAAAAGAAAAAGAAAAAAAGAAAAAAAUUAUUUGUGUGUGUGUGUGUGUGUGUGUGUGCGCGCACAAAUACUUUUAGAGGACUGAAGAGGGCUUUUGAUCCCCUGGAGCGAGAGUUUCAAGCAGUUGUGAACUACCCCACACAGAUGCUGGGAACCUAACUUGGAUCAGGUCUUCUGUAACAGCAGCAAACUCUCUUAACCACCGAGCCAUUUCUCCAUCCCCUUAUUUUCCCUGAAAUUUUGAAAAGUUAGCGACCUAGGCCCUGUAUCCCUUACUGUAAUAAAAUGGGAGCAAGUGCCAUGGCCUCUCUGAUGGUGAACCAUCAUGGUUUCUACCCACCUUACCUCAACUACACUACCUGACUGCUAUAGGAGCCUGAUUGUUAACUCUGAGCUGGUAAGUCGGAAUGACUGAGCAGGAAGUGGCUGGAGGAAAUGGGGCCAGUAAAGCUUUUGUGUGACAGGUGUCUGUUAUGUGGAAUAGAGUCCACAUGUAGAGGCAAGUAGAAGGUGGAAGCUGUUUUGUAAACAGGGUCAGUGGGACUCUGAAAAGAGGAGGAACCAAGAGACAUUGGCCUCUUUAGUGGAUAAACUAAAGCAAGGGUUUGGGUGGAUGGUAAUUUAUUGAAUUUGAGUUGCCUAUAGAUGCCCAAGCAGAGGUUCCCGCAGGCUUCUGGUAAAGCUGGAGCUCGUGAGAAGUGACUGGACUAGAAACAACGUCAGGUUAUCGAACUCUUGUCUGUAUGGUGGACUAAAUCUGGAGCUGCGAACAGCUAAAACAUUGGUUGAAUUAUAUUUUUCAGAUGAACAAAGAUAACCUAAUCAGGAAGCUGUUAGUGGCUGUCAGCUGAGGCUGGAGGUCAAGUUCAAGGAAUAGGGCUGCAGUGAAAAGACUAGAUGAUCAGUAUUCCCUUCUUUCUUUCUCCCUUCCCCUCAAUGGCAUUCACGUCGCCCUUCCUGUAUGUCUUUAGGGUAGCAGUGCCCUCAUGGACCUGAAUAGUCCUUCCUUCCUCUAUCCCCUCCUCCACACACCAGCGGACAAAGGUACACUUUGCACGUAUCAGGUCACACUUGUGGUCUGGUGAUCCCAGGCCUGAGCAAUGGCACCGGUGCUGUUCAGCAUGCACUCAGCUCACCGUGACUGGUCCCUGUCUCUACCAGGCAGCACUGGGAAAGGUGUAUGCCAGCCUUGAGGUCAUCGGAGUUGGAGAUGACAAGCUGCAGGCUGUACAUGGUCUCAAUGGUGGCAAACCUCACAGGGACAUCCUUGGGAGCCGUAUCACCAGACCAACAGGCAUCAAACCCCUGUGCUUACCACGGCACAUCUUAGCAUAUGAUUGGCUGGCUCAAAGUAAGUAUUUGUGAUCUUUGCUGUAGAACCUUGCUCCUGAUAGGCUUUCUCAGCAGAGAGGAUGGGGCCUAUGUGGGAAGGUGAAAUCGGAUAUCUAUCAAAUGGAAGGGGAACAAUGGUAGAAGAUAUGAACUGCCAAAGAUGGCAAUUAAGGUUAAUGUAGGUUGGGUGCUCAGUAUUGGGGCUUCUAUGACAGAUCAGAGAUGACCUCAUUGUCUACCAUGAAGACCCAAAGUGCUGCAAGACAGUGAAGAUGGAGUUGCAGGGUUCAACGACAGCUGUGAAAACUUGGGGCUGGCUAAGUGAAGAACUCCAGCUGCAAUCAGCCGAAAGACACUUAACAUCAAGGAGAACUAGAGCCAUUUUCCUGCUAAAGCCAGAAACUGCAGAUAACCUAGAUGUCCCUCAACCAAAGAAUGGAUAAAGAAAUAUGGUACAUUUACACUAUGAAGUUAAAAACAGCAACAUCAUGAAAUUUGAAGGCAAAUGGAUGGAACUAUGUAUAAAAGAUCAUCCUGAGUGAGGAAAGGAUCCUUAGCAGUGGGAAUGGGACAUCAACUCAAACACAAAACCUCCAAUCUACAAUCUGUCGUGCCUACAAGACAUGCUGUGAUGGCAUGGCCCAGAACUUGUGGAAGUGGCCAACCAAUGACUACUCCAACUUGUGACCCAAUACACUAGAGAGAGCCCAAGUCUGACACUCCCUGGACGACCAGGAACCUGCCCAGAGACCUAGGACAACUGGCCAGAAAACCAAACCAAACCAAAACAAGUCAAUAUUGGUGCCUGGCCCAAUAGUCAUCAGUGAGGCCUCCUCCAGCAACCGAUGGGAGCAAAGCAGAGAUCCACAACCAAACACUAGGGGAUCCAAGGGAACCCAGAAGAAGAGGGGUAAGAAGGAUUGGGAUUGUAGAAGCUAGAGUAACACUCUAAAAACGUGGAAUCAAGUCUUAGUGGGGCUCACAGAGACUGAAGCAAUAAAUAUGAACUCACGUGUAUGGGGCCAAGCUAGAUUGUCUGCAUAUAGACCUUAUGUGCGUACAGCGUGCUCUUCUUGUGGGAGGAGUUGAUCUGGGGAAGAGGGAAGUGAGGGACUGAGUUAAGUUCAGGUCAGUCAGAGAUUCAUAGUGAGACACUGUAAAAAAAACCAAAAAACAAUAACAACCAAAAAAACCAAAACCAAAACCAACCAACCAAACAAACAAACAAACAACAACAAAAAAACCAAGGCAGAGCUUCUGGCCACAGUUUAAUCCCAGCACUGGGGAGGCAGAGGCAGGCAGAUCUCUGAAUUCAAGGCCAGCCUGGUCCACAGAGCAAAUUCCAGGACAGCCAGCCAAGGCUAUGUGGAGAAACCCUGCUUCAAAAAGCCCAAACCAAAUCAAACAACCAAAUAAACAAAAAACAUAGAUAAACAAAACAAAUAUCAAACUCCAAAAAACUCAGAAAAGUUUCACCAUGGGACAAGUGAAUAAAAGCCAGACUUCCCUCCUCUCCCUCCCCCUCCCCACUCCCAAACUGGGUCUUGGAGAUGUAAAAGUCUUGAUACAAAAAGCAUGAGGACUUGAGUUCAUUCCCCAGGACCUACUCUGGCUGACCUGGAAUUCACGAAGAAGCAAAGAACUGACUCCUGCAAGUUGUCCUCUGAUCUCCAUGUGCAUGUCAUAGCACAUCCAUGUGCACACCACACAUGUAAAUAAAUAUAAACAAUAAAGAUGAUGAUUUAACAAUUAAAAGAAAAAA